GGGGCAGCAACCUAUCAACGAGUUGUCCGAUUCAUCUCAAAAUUUAAGGGCAGAUAGAUCUUGACCUGAUAAACAAUUUUACUAAAUGUCAGAUUUGCUCUUAAUGCUUUUAUUUUUGAUUGAUAAGCCAAAAACUGCAUUUUUCCCCUAUGUUCUAUUUUUAGCCAUGGCGGCCAUCUUGGUUGGUUGGCCGGAUCACCGCACACAAUUUUUAAACUAGAUACCCAAAUGAUGAUUGUGGAUAAGUUUAGUUUAAUUUAAUCCAGUAGUUUCAGAGGAGAAGAUUUUUGUAAAAGAUAAUUAAGAUUUACGAAAAAUGGUUAAAAAUUGACUAUAAAGGGC
rnacentral:lncRNA from 1 species